UACGGGGGGGGCAAGCGUUGUUCGGAAUUACUGGGCGUAAAGGGCUCGUAGGCGGCCAACUAAGUCAGACGUGAAAUCCCUCGGCUUAACCGGGGAACUGCGUCUGAUACUGGAUGGCUUGAGGUUGGGAGAGGGAUGCGGAAUUCCAGGUGUAGCGGUGAAAUGCGUAGAGAUCGGGAGGAACACCAGAGGCGAAGGCGGCCAGCUGGGCCGUCCCUGACGCUGAGGCGCGAAGGCGUGGGGAGCGAACGGG
rnacentral:rRNA from 1 species